rnacentral:rRNA from 1 species
UGGGGAAUAUUGCACAAUGGGCGCAAGCCUGAUGCAGCCAUGCCGCGUGUAUGAAGAAGGCCUUCGGGUUGUAAAGUACUUUCAGCGAGGAGGAAGGCGUUGUGGUUAAUAACCGCAGCGAUUGACGUUACUCGCAGAAGAAGCACCGGCUAACUCCGUGCCAGCAGCCGCGGUAAUACGGAGGGUGCAAGCGUUAAUCGGAAUUACUGGGUGUAAAGCGCACGCAGGCGGUCUGUCAAGUCGGAUGUGAAAUCCCCGGGCUCAACCUGGGAACUGCAUCCGAAACUGGCAGGCUAGAGUCUUGUAGAGGGGGGUAGAAUUCCAGGUGUAGCGGUGAAAUGCGUAGAGAUCUGGAGGAAUACCGGUGGCGAAGGCGGCCCCCUAGACAAAGACUGACGCUCAGGUGCGAAAGCGUGGGGAGCAAACA